rnacentral:lncRNA from 1 species
AACCAGAAAUAAAACAUGAAUAUUAAAUAUUUAUAACCCCCAUAAUAAAUAAAAUAAAACAGCCAAAAUAAUUAAAUAAAUAAAAUAGUUAAAUUUUUAAAACCUUUAAAAUUCCAACAAAAUCCAAUGGAACCAAAACCAAAUUCAACCACCAUUGUCAAACCCAAUUGAACCCUAUGAAAAAUCAUCAACCAUCGACCAUGGCUAAUGAAAUCAGAUGGGGAUUUGUGACUUCAAAUGAGAUGAAAAUCUGUGACUUCAAAGGGGAAUAAGAGAGAGAAAAUGAUGAGGAGGCAGAGAAAGGUUGGGAGGGGGAGAUAGAAAAGGAGAGAGAAUGAGAAGAAUAUCAUUGUAUCAAUACUGGAGAAAAAAAAAAAAGAGAACCAGAGAGUAAGAUCGGGAGGAAGAGAGAAAAAAGAAAAGAGAAAGGGGCCCUGAGAAGGAAGAAGAAAAAGAAAAAGGGGAAAAAGGAAGAAAAAAGAAGAAAGGCAUGAGAUAAAUAUAGUUUUAGCUUUUAAAAAUAUUAUAAUUUUUUUAUUUAAUAAAUUAUGCAUUUUUCGUUGGUUUCUUUGUAGCAUUUACUUAGUUUUAGGUGAAAAUCCAUAAUGAAUUUUAAAUAUUUAAAUAAUUGUUUUAAUCCGAUACAGCACCAAACAUAGGUCUUCACUAUUUUUACAAUCCAACUUCUUAGUCCGACGCAGCACCAAACGUAGGUCGGUACUUAAUCCAGUUUAAGCCAAUCCGAGCUAAUCCAAGACAGCCCCAGGAUUUAAUCCAAUCCAUAAUAAUCUGGUGUACCAAACGACCCUUUAAGGGUAUAUUUUUUAUUCAAAAAAAUCUUAUGUUGACCCUAGAAGAAAUUUAUGCAGUCC